UACGGGGGGGAGCGAGCGUUGUUCGGAUUUACUGGGCGUAAAGGGCGCGUAGGCGGUCGUGACAAGUCACUUGUGAAAUCUCCGGGCUUAACUCGGAACGGUCAAGUGAUACUGUCGGACUAGAGUACAGAAGGGGCAACUGGAAUUCUCGGUGUAGCGGUGAAAUGCGUAGAUAUCGAGAGGGAACACCUGGCGGCGAAGGCGGGUUGCUGGGCUGAUACUGACGCUGAGGCGCGAAAGCCAGGGGAGCGAACGGGG
rnacentral:rRNA from 1 species